AAUGAACGCUGGCGGUGUGCCUAACACAUGCAAGUCGAACGACCAGACAAUGAGCUCUUGCUCCUAAGGUUGGCGACUGACGGAUGAGUAACAAGUGCAUCACCUUCUUCUAUUUCUGGGGUAAUUACGGGGAGCCGCUUACGCUACCACCGCAUACAUCCUACCGCUUAGAUCAGUAGUUCUUGACGCCUUUCCCGACUCUUUGAGACGAUGCCGCGCCGCAUUAGCUAGUUGGUAAGGUAACGGCUCACCAAGGCAACGAUGCGUAGCCGAUCUGAGAGGGUGAUCAGCCACACUGGAACUGAGACACGGUCCAGACUCCUACGGGAGGCAGCAGUGGGGAAUCUUGCGCAAUGGGCGAAAGCCUGAUCGAGCAACGCCGCGUGGGUGAAGAAGGUCUUCGGGUCGUAAAACCCUGUUAUUAGGGAAGAACAGCUGUAUAUGAAACCAUGGACGUCUUGACGGUACCUAAUCAGUAAGCCACGGCUAACUACGUG
rnacentral:rRNA from 1 species